CAGCCGCCGCGGGAAUACGUAGGUCCCGAGCGUUGUCCGGAUUUAUUGGGCGUAAAGGGAGCGCAGGCGGUUUAGUAAGUCUGAAGUUAAAGGCAUUGGCUCAACCAAUGUAUGCUUUGGAAACUGUUAGACUUGAGUGCAGAAGGGGAGAGUGGAAUUCCAUGUGUAGCGGUGAAAUGCGUAGAUAUAUGGAGGAACACCGGUGGCGAAAGCGGCUCUCUGGUCUGUCACUGACGCUGAGGCUCGAAAGCGUGGGUAGCGAACAGGAUUAGAUACCCCCGUAGUCCCUGUCUCUUAUACA
rnacentral:rRNA from 1 species